rnacentral:misc_RNA from 1 species
UCUCCGUUGGUGAACCAGCGGAGGGAUCAUUACCGAGUUUACAACUCCCAAACCCAAUGUGAACCAUACCAAACUGUUGCCUCGGCGGGGUCACGCCCCGGGUGCGUCGCAGCCCCGGAACCAGGCGCCCGCCGGAGGGACCAACCAAACUCUUUCUGUAGUCCCCUCGCGGACGUUACUUUUACAGCUCUGAGCAAAAAUUCAAAAUGAAUCAAAACUUUCAACAACGGAUCUCUUGGUUCUG